GACGAACGCUGGCGGCGUGCUUAACACAUGCAAGUCGAACGAAGUGGCGAACGGGUGAGUAACGCGUAAUCAACCUGCCCUUCAGAGGGGGACAAAAGUUGGAAACGAAUGCUAAUACCGCAUACUGAGGAAGGGGAUGGCGUCUGAUUAGCUAGUUGGAGGGGUAACGGCCAACCAAGGCGAGGAUCAGUAGCCGGUCUGCGAGGAUGAACCGCCACAUUGGGACUGAGACACGGCCCAUACUCCUACGGGAGGCAGCAGUGGGGAAUCUUCCGCAAUGGACAAAAGUCUGACUGAGCAACGCCGCGUGAGUGAUGACGGCCUUCGGGUUUUAAAGCUCUGUUAAUCGGGACGCGGUACCGGAAUAGAAAGCCACGGCUAACUACGUGCCAGCAGCCGCGGUAAUUC
rnacentral:rRNA from 1 species